rnacentral:misc_RNA from 1 species
CUUUUCUCUGUCGUGCGCGUACUUCUCUGUUUCGUUGUCGAUACACACCUGUGUGUGUGUGUGUGUGUGUGUGUGUGUGUGUGUGUGUCUGCAACACUCCCAUUCGUGCCCUCUGUCUUAGUGGUCGUGCCCAUCGCAUAAUAAGCGUUUUGCGGAGAAGGGCGCUCUCAUUUUUUUUGUUGCUGCUGUUUGCUCUCCUCCUCGCCCGCCGGAUACAGCACACACACACACACUGACUCAAAUACUCACUCACACGCGCGCAUAAGCGGCACAUAUAGUUUCCUAAGCACGUGCACAACACACGCGCAGAUAAGCAUCAGUAUGUAUUUAAUUGCACUGAGCUGCUGAGCUUCUCCCUCUCUCUCUCCCCCUUCCCCCAACCUUUGCGCCUUGUGUUGUUGCUGCCGCACACGCUCAUCCUCAGCAGCACAGCACCAAGUCCCACCCCAUCCCCACCUCUUUUUCUCUCUCCCCCAUCGUCAGAACAUGUCGACCGUCAACACAGAGGGCAUGCUAGAGUGGUGCUUGGGUAUCCAGUACGCCUUGCGCACCAUUGGCGCGUACCUUCAGCUCGGCUUUUCCCUCGGGGCGGUGCAGGCACGCCACGCCUGCGUGCCGUACCAGCUCGUCGCGUACAAGGCGACGUGUGCGUGGCGCUACAACAUCGCCGCACCAGAGGACGGACCGAUCUACCUCGAGGGGCCCGACGCCGAGAGCUCGACACAGACGUCGACUGGUCAAACUACCAAAAGAAUCGCCCCGCUGUGCGCGCAGGCGAGCGGCGCCGUCGACCCAGUACUUUUCCUGGCAGAGCUGCUGGCCAAGUUCGACUCACUCGCCGCCAUCACACACGGCGAGGCGGUCGACGUGCGGCUGCUCCAGCGAUUCAUGCAUCAGGACAUUCUUGUUUGUAAGCAGCGCCACGCGCAGAUCGCCGCCGGCGUGGCGAUUCCGAGUAAGAGCAGCCACGCUAGUGAGGAGAGCAUUGUCUUUCGUCUUUCCGAGACCGACGCCACGUAUGCCUCGGUGGUGGCAGCCGGGCACCCAACCACCAUCACGUACCGCGACUUGGUUAUCCUCAUAACGCUGCUCAGUGAGGCCAUCGCGUGGGACCUCCUGUGGAUCCACGAAGGACAAGACCGACAAAGGGCACAACAGCAGUCAAAGAUAGCCGACGCCGCGCCAGCAGCACCGGUGCUGCCGCCGCCGCCGCGCCCGACUGAGGCGGACUGUCUCGCGCUCAUGCUGCCCAACUCGGUGGAAUACAACGCGGUGUGGAUGGCCGCAGCGCGGAGUGGGCCGCUGCACACCCUCCUCGACGUUCUCUACCGCAACAGCAACAGCGAGCAGCCCAAGACAGAGCGUGGCACCUACCGCCCUUGCCGGACUGCGCUGCUGAACACGAAUCUGGCGAGCAACACCAUGCUCUACCACGCGAUGGAGUGCUCGGGAAGCGUCAUGAUAGUGAUGGACGUCGCCUACGUGCCUCUUCUCUUCUGCAGCCGAACGAGUGACGACGCCGACGCCGAGGGCGUGACGUCAAAACUCGAGCUGCACGUGCCGCCUCAUGUGAAGCGCAUCUACCUCUGGCGCAGCACCAACGCUGCGGGGCAGCCCGUAUCCAGUGCCAUGACAACGGAAAUGGAGGAGCUUCUGCGGGUCUUUAACGCAAGCGCCUACGGCGACGCCAAGUCGCUGAAGGCAGCGAACCCGUCUGCCGGCGACAGUUUUGUGGCCCCGCCAUCCACGCCGCCGCUGGAUCUCUACGACGUGGUGAAGCCUUUCUUGUUGCGCGCGCAAGCCAACCCGGACUUCACGGUAGGCGAGAUGCGCCAUACCUACCUCAUCAGCAGCCCGCGCGUGCGCCUACUCAUGCACGUCAUCCUUUCCCGCCCGCCGCCGUCGUGGAAGUCGAUGCUGGCCCUGGGCAAACCUUCCUCCGCCAAGAAUGGCGGUGCGGAGCCGUACGCGACAGCCGCCGGCUCAGUCAAAAGUCGAAAGCAGCUGCAGCACUACAAGACCAAGAUGGUCUCCAUCCUUUCUCGCCUGCUUCGCCGGUUCCACCACACGCAGCCGAUCCUCUUUAUCUACACCUCCGGCACAUCGGGCUUGCCCAAGGCCGCACGGUUCAGCCACCUGCGCUUCUUCGCGACCGGCUUCCUCUCCCGCGUCUUGUACUACCGUGAUAAGAUUGCCGAGACCGUUGUGCAGCAGAUGAACGAGGUCGACUACGUGGCCGCGCACCCGGCAGCAGCUGGAGCAGCGUCAGCACCUGGGCUGCCACAACAGCAGCAGCAGUCUUCCUCUUCUCCUCACACCUCCCUCACACAGCUGCACGCGUCCGGCAAGCGGGAAACACCAGAAGAAAAGACGGACAAGGUUGGCAUGCCUAGCGUCGCGAGCAGCAUCCAAUACCACUGCCCGACUGCGCCGCACGUAUUCGGCAUCGAGUCCCUGGACUUCACGUGCCGCGAGCGCAACAUCGUCGAGGCAGCCCUUUUUGCCCUCUGGAGCGCCUCCCUGUGGUGCCUUCGCCUCUUCGCGGCAGUCCUCGGGCUGGAAUACUUCGUCGCCUCCGCGGUGGAGCAGCGGCUCUACACGCCGGCGCAGCUCGCCGCCAUCGAGAACGAGCGCCGCCUCAUCACAUUGUAUAACUGCCUGCCCAUGUGUCAUACCGUCGGCAGCGUCUUCUGCCUUGGCCAUCUCUUGCACGCAUUGGAGGAGCAGCAGCAUGCUUGGGCACAAAUACGCCGUUGUGCGCCUCGCCACACCCGCCUCGCCGCCACCGUGCCCACCGUGCGCAUGAUUAUCCGCACCAAGUUCAGCGCCUCGCAGUUCCGCAAGGACCUGCAGCGCUACCACGUCACGGUUGUCCAGUACAUCGGCGAGGUCUUGCGGUACGCUGUGCUGUACGAGCGCAGCCACUCCCCCGUCCAGGCCGCGCCGCCCUCCUCUGGCGCGACGGCGGAGACGGCGGCGACGACGACGGAGAUGGAUGCAUUGGCGGUGCUGAACCGCACGGCAUGGCGGGUGCCGUACGCCUUCGGCAAUGGACUGCGCCAGGACAUCUGGCUCGAGUGCAUGCGUCGCCUGAACAUCGCGCACCCGGUUGAGUUCUACAGCUCCACCGAGGGCAACAUUUUUCUCUUGAACCUGUUUGGCAUGCCGGGCAUCGUGGGACACAUCCCGCGCUUCCCGCGCCCGAUCGAGUGGCUCAGUAUGCAGUACAUCCCCCUCUUCCCAUUCCGUGUGUUGCGGUUCAAUGAGGAGACGCAACAGGUAUACCGCGACCCCAAGACGGGGUACUGCUCGCACUGCGACGUCGGCGAGGUGGGCGAGGUGGUGGGCGAGGUGAUCGAGGGCUUCGACGUGUUCGCGCUCCGCCGCUUUGAUGGAUACCACAAGGCCCACCACGCCGCUGCUGCUGCCGACGGCGCCUCCAUCGGCAACAGCAGCGGCGGCACGAAGGCGAAGUCGACGGCGCCAGCCGACCAGGAAGAGGAUGAGGCGGCUCGGGAGAGCAAGGUCGCUCGCCAUGUGCUGUGGCCGCAUCACAACGACUGCUACUUCCUCUCUGGCGACCUCAUUCGAAUGGACCGCUUCGGCUUCUGCACAUUCGUCGACCGCAUCGGUGACACCUUCCGCUGGAAGGGUGAGAACGUCAGCACGCUUGAGGUGUCCAACGCCCUCAACUCCAUCCACACAACGCGCGUCGGGGUACAGGAAGCCGUCGUGUACGGUGUGGAGCUGCCAGGGCGUGAGGGGCGAGCUGGUAUGGCCAUGCUGAGCCUGCAGCCGCGGCACCUGCGCUCGUCCUCGGACGGUUGCAGCAGCACGAGCCCCAGCUCGCCGUCGUCCCGGUUGCCGGCCCCGUCGCGGCCACAGUCCCUCACCCUCGCCGAGGAGCGUCGCUUUCUCCAGGAUGACCUGUACGAAUUUCUCACUGGCAAAGUGCGGCGCAACGGUGAUGGGACGGAGAAUCAGGCGAUGCUUCCGGCCUCCGCGAUUCCGCUAUUUCUGCGCAUGCAUGAUCUGGUGGCGGGCGACAGCCAAGACGGUGACAACGGGGUCAUCUCCUCCGAGGUGCGGUUGAACAAGCACGCUGUGGCCGAGGACGCCACACAGACGUCUACGUUCAAGUACAAGAAAGGCAUCCUCAUCAAUCAGGGCUACGAGUUCGACGGGAGCUCGACGACUUGCGCGGAGGUGCCAGCAAGUGCGUGGGGCAACAGUGUCACUGGCGACGACGACGCGACGACGACGCCGUAUGUGCGCGUCUACGUACUUGUGUCCAAUCAGGCGGCGCUGAAGGAGUUGGCGUUGCCGCCGGUGGGCUCGAAGGGUGCCAGCGGCGCCCCACACGCCACCGGCUACGUCCCGCUAACAGCCGCGACUCGUGCCAUUCUCGGCGCGAACAUGGAAAAAUGCGGCUGGUAAAAUCAAGCAAACGCAUCUCUCCCUCUCACACAAGCACGAUGUUUACGGCUGUGGCAGUGAUGAGUGCGGGUGGCACAUCGGAGUGUGGGUGCGCGCGUGUGUGGUGUCGCGCGCUCUCUCUCCGACUUAGCAAAAAGAGGUCGAUGACGUGAUGUGGGAAGCAGAACGCCGAUCAGCGGGGGAGAGGGUCGCCAUGCACGUGUUAUGUGUCUACGUUUGCCUCUGCAUUUAUGCGUGUGUGUGUGUGUGUAUGUGUGCAGGGGAGAGAUCGGCUGAUGUGUAUAGCAGUGUGAGGUGGCGUCAUGUGCAUCAGUGCUUGUCCCAUCGGCAACGAAUGCGUCUCCUCACCAAAAACAGAUCUCUUCCUUACCCUCCCCCUCCCUUAGCGCCUCCACACCACGCCGUGCCCGUUCGCUUUUCUUCUCCGGUACUGCCUCUCUCUGUCUAUUCUCGUCUCGGUGUGUGCACGGGGGCCUGUUGUGGUUUUCGCGCGGGCGUGAGGGAAGAGGGUGCCCUUUGGAGGCCCACUACACACAGGCAGCACACGAACUUCCGAGCAAAAAGAGAGACGCCGAUAUCCGACGGCGCGGAUCUGCAUAUGAGCGUGCAAGUCUGGGCUGUGUGUGUGUGUGUGUGUGUUACCCUGUUGUGCGCCGGUUGCCUUCAGUGCCUUCCUCAUCGAACAGAACAACGAUAAUCGCACCCGUGCGCGUGCGCGCGCUUUACCCAGCCGCUUCCCACCAUCACCUCCUCUCCAGUCUGUGCCACCCACACCAACGUAUUUGCAACACAAGCUGACGCUAGCCUCCCUUCCCAUGCACUUCGUAGUUGGGGAUCGACUGCGACACAAGGCGGAUACGUUGCUGUCUCUCGACCCUCAAGGUGAUCCUUCCACACUGGCGGUGAGGGCAAUACGUGAGCGCGUGCGCGCAAGGAAGAUUCCUCGGGCAGCGUCUGCCUCGGCCCCUUCCCCCAUGUCCUUUCCUCAUACCUGAUGAUGCCGGCCACCUCCGUGCGUGGUAUCUCAGGGCCCAGUGCCUCCACUCUCUGUGAAGGAGGAAGCCAACGCAGCCCUCUUAUCCCUCCUAAUAGUGAACGACUUGUGGUGAGUGGCAGGGUCAGGCCCUGGAUGGUGUGGCAUCGGGGCGACCAACGACAAUGAGCACGCUCACAUCACCCGUAUGGUGGGCGAAGUGUCAUCGUGACUGGAGCGUAUCCCACCACCCGGCCCUCACACUGCCCGCUGGUGGAGGGAGCCUCGGACACCUCGAGGGGGAGGCACCGGGUAGCGGCUGGCAUGAUGGGAGCGGGAGUGAGUGAGGUGGGUGGGUGGGGUAGCGUUUGCGACAGGAGCCGUGCUCCGAUGAUUGAGUCGGCUUAUGGCUGUAACGGGCGUGUCCACCGCUGCUUCGCACCAGGUGUUGGGGAAUGUGGCAGGGCCGGGGGGGAGAGUGACCUCAUGUUGUAUUGCAGAAAGUAGUCGCGCUGAAGAUAC